UACGUAGGGUGCGAGCGUUAAUCGGAAUUACUGGGCGUAAAGCGUGCGUAGGCGGUUCGUUAAGUUCGUUGUGAAAGCCCCGGGCUCAACCUGGGAAUGGCAAUGGAAACUGGCGGGCUGGAGUAUGGCAGAGGGGGGUGGAAUUCCGCGUGUAGCAGUGAAAUGCGUAGAGAUGCGGAGGAACACCGAUGGCGAAGGCAGCCCCCUGGGCCAAUACUGACGCUCAGACACGAAAGCGUGGGGAGCAAACAGG
rnacentral:rRNA from 1 species